CCGGAGUGGACGAACCUCUGGUGUACCGGUUAUGACGCCAGUCGUAUUGCCGGGUAGCUAAGUUCGGAAGAGAUAAACGCUGAAAGCAUCUAAGCGUGAAACUCGCCUUGAGAUAAGAUUUCCCUGGGGACUUGAUCCCCCUGAAGGGUCGUGGUAGACCACCACGUUGAUAGGCUGGGUGUGGAAGCGCAGCAAUGCGUUAAGCUAACCAGUACUAAUUGCCCGUGAGGCUUGAUCCUAUAACCUUAAGCAG
rnacentral:rRNA from 1 species